UACGUAGGGGGCAAGCGUUAUCCGGAUUUACUGGGUGUAAAGGGAGCAUAGACGGAGUGGCAAGUCUGAAGUGAAAACCCUGGGCUUAACCUGGGGACUGCUUUGGAAACUGUUAAUCUAGAGUGUUGGAGAGGUAAGUGGAAUUCCUGGUGUAGCGGUGAAAUGCGUAGAUAUCAGGAAGAACACCGGAGGCGAAGGCGGCUUACUGGACAAUAACUGACGUUGAGGCUCGAAAGCGUGGGGAUCAAACAGG
rnacentral:rRNA from 1 species